AGUGUACGCUGGCGGCGUGCUUAACACAUGCAAGUCGAACGAGAACGGGUUAUAGCUUGCUAUAAUUGUCAGCUAAGUGGCGCACGGGUGAGUAAUGUAUAGGUAAUAUGCCUCUUACUAAGGGAUAACAAAUGGAAACGUUUGCUAAUACCUUAUACUCCUUAUUAACAGAAGUUAAUAAGGGAAAGAUUUAUUGGUAAGAGAUUAGCCUGUAUUGUACCAGUUAGUUGGUGGGGUAAUGGCUUACCAAGACUAUGACACAUAACUGGUUUGAGAGGAUGAUCAGUCACACUGGAACUGAGACACGGUCCAGACUCCUACGGGAGGCAGCAGUGGGGAAUAUUGCACAAUGGACGAAAGUCUGAUGCAGCAACGCCGCGUGGAGGAUGACACAUUUCGGUGCGUAAACUCCUUUUAUAUGAGAAGAUAAUGACGGUAUUAUAUGAAUAAGCACCGGCUAACUCCGUGCCAGCCGCCGCAGUAA
rnacentral:rRNA from 1 species